rnacentral:rRNA from 1 species
UACGGGGGGGGCAAGCGUUGUUCGGAAUUACUGGGCGUAAAGGGCUCGUAGGCGGCCAACUAAGUCGGACGUGAAAUCCCCAGGCUCAACCUGGGAACUGCGUCCGAUACUGGAUGGCUUGAAUCCGGGGGAGGGAUGCAGAAUUCCAGGUGUAGCGGUGAAAUGCGUAGAUAUCUGGAGGAAUACCGGUGGCGAAGGCGGCAUCCUGGACCGGCAUUGACGCUGAGGAGCGAAAGCCAGGGGAGCAAACGGG